AAACUGGCUAAUAUAUUAAUAAUCACGCGGCUCAGGCAAAGUUGAAAAGACAUAGUCAAAAAGACAGAUAAAUUAAAAGGCCCCAACUAAAAAGCCAACACACACCUAAAAAACAAUCAAAACCAAAACAAAAUAAGAAAAACCACCCUGAAUCAAAAACUGCAGCUAAUUUCAAAACCCAAUAUCAGCCAACGGACGUAUCGCUUCUCCUCCUGAAAAAGAUCUUGAGAUUAGGAAGAGAAGAGAACGAAGCUUUGAAUCCAUAACUGGAGGAGCGGUGAGUCUUCACCAUUUUCAAAGCUGAGUCAAGAAAAACCUUGGUAUUUAUGAUUCCAAGCCAAUCAAUCCAUCAUCGCCAUCGUCUUCACGGAAUCAGGAACUCCAUCUGACCAGACACCACAAGUCUGUUGCCUCCGGCCUUCCAGCGCGGAACGUUCCUAUUAAUUCUCCUGCCCAGUCUCUUGCUAAAACUGCUAUUGUAGCGAUUCGAAAUUCAUUUUGAAAAGAUGCAUCAAAAUUUAGUUUGAUGACUCCACAGUCAGGGGGUUGCCAAAACUCUUUUACCAUAGAUCUAAGAGAAGGGCGAAGACUCUCUUGAUUUAGGUUAAGAUCUUGAACAUAACCACGAAUAAAUCCCAACAGUUCCUGAAAAGAAAGUUUGACCCCUUCAUGAAUAAGUUUAUUUCUUCUAAACCAUAGGCUCCAUAAAGAGAUUGCCAUAACUUGUCUUUGUUGAUCAUCUGCAGUGGAAAAAGUAUGAAGAAAACGAUGCUUACAACACGACAGUUCAUCAAAUGACGGAAUCUUGAUCUGAAGCGAAGCCCACACAGACUGAAGAGUGCCACAAGACCACAUCAAAUGACUAGAAUCCUCGGGAUCUACUUUGCACAAAGGACAGACGACUUCUACAUUUAACAAUCGUCUCGCCAAAUUAUAAGAAUGAGGCAAUAGAUUAUUAAAAAGCCGUAUAGUUAGCAUCAUUAGGAAAUAUGAAAGUAUUUUUCUAUAACAGUUCUGUAGAUAGAACCCGAUACCCACUUUUCACUGUAUAUUCCCCAGAACCUUCAUGUUUCCAUACCAACAUGUCCUCCGAAUUAGCUCCAGAAAUAGGAAUGGAGAGCAUAAGCUCUGCUGUGCUUUCGUCAAAUAUUUUGUGGAUCAACUCAUUGUCCUAG
rnacentral:lncRNA from 1 species